AUAGCUGAGUACUAGUUUUCACUUUUUGGGGUAUAUACUUAGGAGUGGAAUUGAUGGGUCCUAUGGUAAUUUUAUAUUUCACUUUCUGAGGAAAUGCCAAACUUUUUCCACAGCAGCUGUACUAUUUAACAGUCUCACUAACGGUGUACCAGGUGCUCACUUUUAAGCAUUUCUUUUCCGGAGAGUUUUCUUCUCAGCAUACCUACUGCAAGGAAAAUAGGAAAAUCAGUUGCAUAUUGGGAAUGUCCACAACUUUGACAAUUUGCUAAAUGUUUUUUCUAUAAAAUUGACACCAUAAUGUCCUUGGCUUAAGUUAUACUAUAGCAAUGCUUUAUGGCUUUCUUUUCUUUUUCUUUUUUUCUGCAUCAUGGCAUUGUCAGGAAAUGGCAGCAUUUGUACUGAGAGGAGGGCGUCCGUGGUGAUAGCAGAGGUGGAGGUAGAAAAGGGUUCGCAGUCAAGAUGCGAGCAUUUUGAACCCCCACGUUUACGAAGUGAAAUGCAUUGGUGUCCCAGGAGCGGAGGAGGUUUGGUCUUUGUUGUGGAUGAUACCAGAACAGAGGGUGGACCAGGCCAGAACCAGGAACCCAGGAACUAGCUAAGAAGGAGGAUUCUGGCCAGUGUGGGAGAUAUUCCUUCAAUUGCAGAGGAUUUUGGGAUGGUGGAUGGAUGGGAAGAGCCCACUGAAAGUGUCAUGAAGAGAUGCCUCCACAAGAAGCAGCAAAUGUUGCCAUGAAUUUUCAGGCCACCGGUGGCUGACUUAGUUAUCAUCAUCUUUAUGUGAGUUUUACCUUGCUAAGUACCAUUCAUCAAUUUUUGAAUAUCUAAGGUAUUUGAGGUCGUUCAUUCAAGGCAAAAUGCUGAAAGUAAAAGCGAAAUCAAGAACCCAGGGGCUUUGAAGGCUUUUCUCAACUCGCGGCCACAUUCUGCCUUUAAAAGCACUGACUUGACUUUUACAAGAGCCUGUAGAAUAAUCUAACAGAAAAUGGAAGCCAAGAGCACAGCGAUUCCCUUAAAUAUUUCAUAUUGCAUUUGGAUGUGCAUUUUUCAAAGAUCAUUUCCUUGACAUUUUCUGGGGGUAUAUUUCUUGGGAAAUAAAAUAAAUAUGUUUGGUUGA